GGCGAAUGUGUGAGAGGUCGCGGAGGGAUGACGGGGGGGGGAAGUGUUGUUGGUGAUUACUGGGGGUAAAGGGCGCGUAGGGGGCCUGCUAAGUCGAACGUGAAAUCCCCGAGGUCAACUCGGGAACUGCGUCCGAUACUGGCAGGCUUGAAUCCGGGAGAGGGAUGCGGAAUGCCAGGUGUAGCGGUGAAAUGCGUAGAUAUCUGGAGGAACACCGGUGGCGAAGGCGGCAUCCUGGACCGGCAUUGACGCUGAGGCGCGAAAGCCAGGGGAGCAAACGGGAUUAGUACCCGGGUAGUC
rnacentral:rRNA from 1 species